UACAGAGGUCUCGAGCGUUGUUCGGAUUCACUGGGCGUAAAGGGUGCGUAGGUGGUGAGGUAAGUCGGAUGUGAAAGCUCGGAGCUCAACUCCGAAAUGGCAUUGGAAACUACCUUGCUCGAGGGUUGGAGGGGGGACUGGAAUGCUUGGUGUAGCAGUGAAAUGCGUAGAUAUCAAGCGGAACACCAGUGGCGAAGGCGAGUCCCUGGACAACUCCUGACACUGAGGCACGAAAGCUAGGGGAGCAAACAGG
rnacentral:rRNA from 1 species